GAUGAACGCUGGCGGCAUGCCUAACACAUGCAAGUCGAUCGGUAAGGCUCUUCGGAGUACUCGAGAGGCGGACGGCCGAGUAACGCGUAGGAACACACCCUGCAGUGAGGGAUAAGACACCGAAAGGUGUUCUAAUACCGCAUACGGUCUUCGGAUUAAAGCAUUUAUGCGCUGAAGGAGUGGCCUGCGUCAUAUUAGAUAGUUGGUGAGGUAAUGGCUCACCAAGUCGAUGAUGUGUAGCUGGUCUGAGAGGAUGAUCAGCCAGACUGGAACUGAGACACGGUCCAGACUCCUACGGGAGGCAGCAGUGAGGAAUAUUUCACAAUGAGCGAAAGCUUGAUGGAGCAAUGCCGCGUGCAGGAUGAAGGCCCUCGGGUUGUAAACUGCUUUUAUAAGAGAAGAUUAUGACGGUAACUUAUGAAUAAGGGACGGCUAACUACGUG
rnacentral:rRNA from 1 species